CUGCUGCCUCCCGUAGGAGUCUGGGCCGUGUCUCAGUCCCAGUGUGGGGGGCCUUCCUCUCAGAACCCCUACGCAUCGUCGCC
rnacentral:rRNA from 1 species